UACGUAGGGUGCGAGCGUUAAUCGGAAUUACUGGGCGUAAAGCGUGCGCAGGCGGUUCGCUGUGUCCGAUGUGAAAGCCCCGGGCUUAACCUGGGAAUGGCAAUGGAAACUGGCGGGCUGGAGUAUGGCAGAGGGGGGUGGAAUUCCGCGUGUAGCAGUGAAAUGCGUAGAGAUGCGGAGGAACACCGAUGGCGAAGGCAGCCCCCUGGGCCAAUACUGACGCUCAGGCACGAAAGCGUGGGGAGCAAACAGG
rnacentral:rRNA from 1 species